CAGAAUGCUUCCAAGGGCUAUGGCUUGUUGUGGCCACGGGAUCUCCAACUGCAUGCAGGAGACACCUGGAGAGACUUUGACAGCUCAGGUUACAACAACACCUGUAGCUGCCACUCACCUUUCCUAUAAUA
rnacentral:snoRNA from 1 species